GACGAACGCUGGCGGCGUGCCUAAUACAUGCAAGUAGAACGCUGAAGGAGGAGCUUGCUUCUCUGGAUGAGUUGCGAACGGGUGAGUAACGCGUAGGUAACCUGCCUGGUAGCGGGGGAUAAUUAUUGGAACCGAUAGCUAAUACCGCAUAAAAGAAGAUUUUGCAUGAAAUUUGCUUAAAAGUUGCAAUUGCAUCACUACCAGAUGGACCUGCGUUGUAUUAGCUAGUUGGUGGGGUAACGGCUUACCAAGGCGACGAUACAUAGCCGACCUGAGAGGGUGAUCGGCCACACUGGGACUGAGACACGGCCCAGACUCCUACGGGAGGCAGCAGUAGGGAAUCUUCGGCAAUAGACGGAAGUCUGACCGAGCAACGCCGCGUGAGUGAAGAAGGUUUUCGGAUCGUAAAGCUCUGUUGUAAGAGAAGAACGAGUGUGAGAGUGGAAAGUUCACACUGUGACGGUAUCUUACCAGAAAGGGACGGCUAACUACGUG
rnacentral:rRNA from 1 species